rnacentral:rRNA from 1 species
CAGUAGCCGCGGGAAUACAGAGGGUGCGAGCGUUAAUCGGAUUUACUGGGCGUAAAGCGUGCGUAGGCGGCUUCUUAAGUCGGAUGUGAAAUCCCUGAGCUUAACUUAGGAAUUGCAUUCGAUACUGGGAAGCUAGAGUAUGGGAGAGGAUGGUAGAAUUCCAGGUGUAGCGGUGAAAUGCGUAGAGAUCUGGAGGAAUACCGAUGGCGAAGGCAGCCAUCUGGCCUAAUACUGACGCUGAGGUACGAAAGCAUGGGGAGCAAACAGGAUUAGAUACCCCCGAGUCCCUGUCUCUUAUACA